GUGGGGCAAGGAUGCCCAAUUCCCCGAAGGGGUGAGGGGCAGGAAGGUCAGUUUGGGGAGCCUCUAGUUUUACUGGAAGGUCUGUCUGAGUGUGGGACCUAGAAGGACUCAAGCCCUGUCCCUCCUGUGUUUCUGUGGUUUCUGGGGGUGAGGAGAAGAUACCUACAUGUAUCUCACACGCCCCCACCUCACUGAAGAGGGAAAUGCCCUCUUCCCAUCCCAGGUGCCGCACAGAACCCAACAACUGGUGUCUGCCUGGAACACAGCCCAGGAUCAAGUGAACAAGACGAUUCACUUUGAUGAAGUCCAGCUUUUGCGUAUUUGUCCAGUCCUCCUGCUGGAAGGGCAGUGUAUGAGGUGGGGUGAGCCCCAGAAACAGACGGUCCCACAUCCAGUGAUGCAGGAAGGCUUGGAGAACCAACGGCCAGAGUCGUGCUGGAGUGAAGGACACAGGGCCGCGUUCAAGCCCAUGAAUCUGUCCUCGUCCCAUGUCCCUACAGUAAAAUCAGAGCCCAUGGCAGAGUUGGUUCUGGUGGCCAUUGCAGAAGCAGCUGUCAAGACCCUGUUUCUCCUGCUCUGUCUCGUCAUCCUCAUGUGAGCACUGCCCCAGGGGAAGGGGAGAGGUAGGGAGGGCGGGGGCGUGUGGCUGAAUCCCAGAAGGGUGCAGGAGGAACUGAACAGGCUGAGGUUGGGGCAGGAAGGAGGAUUCCACUGAGUGUCCGUGAGGGGAUGUCCCUGCUCAGCUCAAGGUAAUCUGUGGGACAAGACAUGCCCUCUCUUACCUCAGUCACCUCUCCAAACGCUUAACUGGCAACACGGGUGAAUCAGUUCACCCUGCACCCCCAUGAUUAGACUGAAAGACCCUGAUCUCUUCCCUCAGAGUGAGGUUCCUCAGGAAGGAGACAGCCAGGCCUGCAGGGGGCCUGGAGGAGGCAAAGCCCACCCCCAGUUAAUCCCUCAGGCUCAUCCUGCUGCCAGUCUCCGCCCCAUCCUGACCUUACUUGCACCUGUGGCCUCCUUUCUUCCCCAGACUUCUGACCCACCUGCCUCCAGCCUCCCUCUCUCUCCUCAGCACAUUGAGUCUUGGGAGACCAUUAUCAUCCACCUCCUCCACAGCAUGAAGAGCUAUGGAUCCUCUCCAGGGCCAAGACCAAGGCUGGGUUUGAAGGCCUGGCAUGGUCCGCUCCCCACUGGACCCUCCACCGGGAUCUCUACCUCUCCCUGCGUCUUGCAACAUCUCCACAACAAGCUGGGCCAAGGUUUUGCAUGUGCCCUUCCUUCUCCUGAAGUGCCCUUUCCUCCCCAACCCUGCAUCUCCAAGUCCUAAUCAUCUUCAGGCUCAGUCUUAAAAGCCAACUAGCCCCGUGUGUGUGUGUGACUCACACGAUUUUGAAUCAAGUCGUAUUCAGUUAAGAAUAGACUCCUUCAGCAAGUACUACUGAACACCUACUAUGUGCCACCUUGUUUUGGUUUCGGGUGCAUCAGUGAACACAACAAAAUCUCUGUCAUCAAGAACUGUCAUUCUGGAGACAAGAAAUCAAAAGAAAUAAAUAAGAAAUAAUAUUAGA